rnacentral:rRNA from 1 species
AUUGAACGCUGGCGGCAGGCCUAACACAUGCAAGUCGAGCGAGCGGCGGACGGGUGAGUAAUGUAUUGGGAUCUGCUUGACAGACCGGGAUAACUACUGGAAACGGUGGCUAAUACCGCAUACGAUCGGAUGAACCCAUAUGGGAGUAGCUAGUGGGUGGGGUAAAGGCUCACCUGGGCGACGAUCUCUAGCUGGUCUGAGCGGAUGAUCAGCCACACUGGGACUGAGACACGGCCCAGACUCCUACGGGAGGCAGCAGUGGGGAAUGUUGCACAAUGGGCGCAAGCCUGAUGCAGCCAUGCCGCGUGAAUGAAGAAGGCAUUAGGGUUGUAAAGUACUUUCAGCGGGGAGGCGUUAACCGAAGAAGAAGCAACGGCUAACUCCGUGCCAGCAGCCGCGGUAAUAC